UCCAUAUCAAUUCUAGCAGCGUUGAAUUCC
rnacentral:piRNA from 1 species